CCGGCGCCCAGCCCGGUGCCGCGGCUCGGCGCGGCCCCCCAGCCAGCGCCCCGACCCGGAGCCGAUUACCUGCAAUGAUGAAAUGAAGUAACUCAAGAUGAGCAAGUUAAAAGUGGUAUCAGAGAAAAGGAACACCUAGAUGAAUGCCACUCCUACAUGAGAAUUGGGAUAGCACUGUACAAAAGAUGUGUCAAAGCUGGUUUUGGAAAGGAAACAUGGAAACUGUUAAUAGCUCCUGAGACCAAGAACCCAGAACUCCUCAGAAGACAAGAGUGAAAAGUUACAUUCUUUCCUUUUGGAGUUCCUUCAGGCAGGAAAGUGUAAUCAAUAGCUCAGUAAAUUAUCCUGUGACAAUUGAAGAGUACCUAAAGCUGAGAAAGUAGGAUGAGCAAGAUUAAUUUCCCUCUCAUUGUUGUCAGCAAACCUCCCACCCACUAUGAAGCUUCCAUCGUGAUCAAGAGGGGUUACUUGCUGCCACCUCCUUUUGGACAUUACACUUAAUAGAUGGCCCAUGAGUGACAAACUUUCUUACUGCCUCAUCUGGUAUUUCUCUGAAUGGAAGAAUAUGAGAUCAAGGUGGAGAGUUACAGAGAGGCAGAGGCAGAGAGAGAGAAGUCUUCACUCCCCAAAUGGCCACAAUGGCCAGAGCUGUGCCAAUCUGAAGCCAGGAACCAGAAGAUUCUUCCGGUCUCCCAUGUGCAUGCAGAGGCCCAAGGACUUCAAGAGAAUGAAUCCAUUUGCUCCCGUCUCUUCUACUCAUCAGUACACUUCCCGUGGGGCAUCUUGAUCCACCUGUAUGUGGCCUGGAGUCUCCCCUGUCAACAGCAUCCGUUCAACAUAGGCUUCCACAGCCUCCCCAGAACCAGAGUCCAGAAUAAGUGUAUAGAGGAGCCCUCUUGUCUCCCGAGAAGCUGAAGAUCUGGGAUCCUACUCCACGCAUCAGUGAAUGAGGUACUGAACCAGGAAUAAUUUGAAAAGGGUUUUGAGAAAGAGGAACUUUUUCCCCUCCCUUCCUCAUCUAUGAACUCCUUUGUGGAUAAAGCUGUCUAUGAAUCAACAUCGGGGACGAUAAGCAGAUGACAGUGUCUUGUUGUGCUGUUGGUGACAGCAAGAAGAGUUUGGGAGUCUCUCUAAUUUCUGUACUUAAAACUCUUACUGACUAUAAAGUGUCGGGGUAGAGCCAAGAGGCGGCGGAAAGGUGGAACAUUUAGAGAAACUCAGAGGAGAAACUCCUGGGAAAGACAGUCAUACCUCAGAGUUCUUCCUUAGCCCAUCUGUGGGCAGGAAUCAGAUGCAUGGACAACAGGAGCUGCCCAAAAGGUGAUGAGGUUCAAGGAUUAACCAGAGGAGGGAUGGAAGCUUCUGUUUUGAAAAGAUCCCAGAGCCAACAUCAAGAUAUCACCAGUUUACAUCACCUGCUGUGACCAGACCCUCAUUGUAUGGUGUGUAACAGAGUGGCUACAAAAGAGACCUCAUUCACUGUGACAUCUGGCCACUCAAAAACUCAUCCUAGAGGCCAAAAUUCAGCCUCUCUGCACAUGCCAUCUCCACCACCCCCUUCUACUGUCUCACUUAACCAUGUUGCUUCUUUACCUGAUUUACUGUCCCCUGAAUGACCAGCUGACUCAGGACCAUCAGAGCCCUUGGCUUCAAAACUCCCAGUGGACCCUUUCCCACCCCAACCUGUUGCUAUUUGCCCUCCCACACCACAUCAUAUUUAGAGAUCAGGUCAGGAUCUCCAUCCAGAGAUUGCUCUGUCUGUAAUGAAUAGCCCUGAUGGGUUCUCAACAGAUAUUCCAACAGUCAGUGAAAUUGACCAUUCAAUGCCAGAAUCAUCCUGGCAGCAGGCCCAGGUGAAGGAUGCCAAAGACUUGUCCUCUUCCAACUUAGAACAAGAUAGCAUCAAGCAUGAGCUUCUUGAUGGCCAAUCUUCUGAGACCUCUUGUACAGAAUGUGCAUCCAACCUUGUAGAACCCACUAACUUCUUGUUACUCAGCCAUGAUGAUCUGGCACUCUUGGACAAACAAAUAAGAAAGAGGGGUGAUUUCCUGAUCUGGACAGAAAGGGAAAGUAAAAUGGAACCAUUUCUAAAACAACUUAGUUCAGACCACCAGCUGAGUACUUCAGAGAAAAUGGUAGAGUCAAGUGCCGACUGACAGACAUGAGUCAGCAGUCAGUGCAGACCACCAACUGUAUAUAUCAGAGCCAAAGUUAGAGUCAGAUGCUGAUAAGCAUGACUCUGCAAUCAUGGCAGAACAGCCACUAGAUACUUCAGAGAACAUCUAGAGUCAAAUGCUGAUAAGCCUGACACAGAAGUCAGGUCAGACCUCCAACUAUAUACUUCAGAGAAAAUGUUAGGGCCAGAUGCUGAUAACCAUGACUCAGCAGACAGGCCAGUAUACCAGUUAAAUGCUUCAGAGAAAAUGUUGGGGCCAGACGCUGAUAAGCAUGAGUCAGCAGUCAGUCUGGACCACCGACCCUAUACUUCGGAGCCAAUGCUAGAAUCAGAUGCUGAUAAGCAUGACUCAGCAGUCUUCCUUUAUUUUGGAAACAGCAAAGGCAAAUCAGAGGAGCUGCAAAUGAACCAGCAGCCUCCAUCUCCUAAACCUCUGAGAAUCAAUUAGCAGAAAAAUGCAUCAAAUACUUUUGGGGUCUUCCAUCUCUGCACAGUGAGUCCUUGUGCUCAAUUAUCCAUCAUCCAGAUGACUGUCCCUCAACUUGGGUCAUUUUUAAUGGCAUCUCCAAAGCUUCCACAUCUCAAGGACCUUUAGGACUUUCCAAUUUCCAGCCUCUGAUCUUGCCCGAGAUCCAAUCCCACUCCUCAACUAAAACUGUCUCCCAAUCGCAGUCACAACAUGCUACUCAGGCCCAGUCUCAGUCCAACCUUCCAUCUCCAAUCCCAAUGCUACCAACAUCUCCUGAUUUCCAGCUUAGGAUCUGUGGAGUGUUCUUCCAUAGACCCCAUAUUGAGGCACAGUGUCUCAUGCAAUCUGAACUUCAUCAGCUAGAAUACAAUGUGCUACAGAAAGAACAGGAACGUUUGUGGGGUUUACCCUCUAUGGUCCAAACAUGCCAGGAAUACCUUUGUCCUCCCCCUCCCAAUGUUUCAUUGGUGAGCCAGUCCUCCAAAAUCCAUGUUCCAAUCUCCAUCAUUCCUGGAGAUUACCCUCUGAGCAGCGAGCUUCAUAAGAAAUUUGAAUACCACCUUAGAAAGAGACUCAUUCAACACCGAUGGGGCCUACCCCGCAGGGUCCAUGAGUCUGACACUGAUUAAUCCUGAGAGGGAUGUUCCUGAAAUAUAUGCAUCAAAGAGUUUUCACAGACUCAAAUGGAUAUCUUUGUUGAAGGAACAGAGUAGCAACAAUUUAAGGAAUUCUGAAUCGAGCCAACUUCCAAUCUCCCAAAAGCUCAGAAGAGUUUCAGUCAGAUAACGAUGAGAAGGACCGUCAGAGAUAGCCCAAAGAAUGGCCCAAGUGGUCAUCUAUUGAGUGACCCAGAAGGAUACUCAGAUAACAGUUUAGGGUCUGACUCUGAUAAAGAUCAAGGAAGUCAUACAGUGAGUCUGUAUGGAAAUGAUUCAAGGGCCUCAGGGAUAAGUAUAAAUCAGAAACAACUAGAAAAUGCACUCAAAGAACAUUUGAAUAGGAAAAUUGAGGAAAUAAAUGAGGGUAGACUUCCUGAGACUGUUCAUAGUUCAUGGCAUGCCCUCAAGCAGACAGUAUCUUUCGCUGAGAAAUCUGAUGGUCAAAAACAGAUGGGGCAUCAUCUGUGAGAAACAUUAGCUUGAACACUUCCCAGGAGAUUUAUUUCUUGGGUCCCAGCAAACAGAAGAUGCUGGAAGACCAUAUAAGCAGUUUUUGCAUGAGGAUGAAAUGUGGCCUUCCCACCAGGGUCCUUGAAUCCAUACAGAUCUUCAGCAAGAGAGAGGACUCAUCUUCUUCCUUAGGCCAUUCCUAUCGUUCCUCCCAAGAUAGCCUUAGUUCUGGGAUGCAUUCCAAAGUUAUGGUAUCCAGGUAACUUGGUAGGAGCUCUACAGCUUUGUGUAGAGACAAAUUGAAGAUGAUAAAGUCAGUACCCAAUCUGGAUCAUCUCCUUCCUGCUGCAUCACUUGUAGGGAAGGGAGGACAGGGGGACCUGAGACCACUGUCCCCAGAGGAAAAACAGGAGCAUGCAAGUGUUCAGAUUAAGGAUGGCAGACAGACUUGUCCGUGCAUCGCAGACAAAGAAAUUAGGAAACAGACUGGACCAGACAAUAGGCACAGCCCAGUGCUAGUGUCCACAAGUCAUGAUGGGACUGGACCUGAGCCAAAGGAUAAGAGAGUGAGUUCCAGCAACAAAAAAGAAAGGCUUCAGGCUCCCAAAGAAAAGACUUCAGAAUACUUCCCAAGGUUUAACAAGUCUAGAGAGAGAUUUAAGGCAAAGGAGCUCUUUGCUCUUCAAUCAAAAUCUGCCAACACAUUGACAACCAGCAAGUCAGGGGACUUUGCACCGGUAGAUGUGAAAACAAAGAAAGAAAAAACUACCCUGGCGACUGAAAUUCCCUCACCAACAUCAGUUUCCCAGGAUCCUAAACUUUAAAAACUUUAAAAACAACUUGAUUAAAGAAUUAAAGUUGAAAUUGGAGAAUAGGGAUCAUAACCCUGUUCAAGGCCAGUCUAUUGAUAUGGCUGUUGCCUCACAUGAUUUCUAAAACCUUGACUUGUGCCCAGCGUGUCACCAAUGGAAGCUUCUCAGGUUAUGCAUGUACAUUUUGACAACACACCAGUCGGCAUGGAACAGCAUCAGGAGCCCUGGGUCCCUAAGCAUAUCUUGCAAAAAUGCUGGGAUAUGAAUGCCCCACAAAUUCAAAGAGACUGAGUCAUUUGCAACCAAAACCAGGAGACCUUGGUGAAGGGGAUGCAGGGUUGGGGACACCACAACCCAGUAGGAAGAGCUCCCCUGGUCAAGACAGGGCAUUAAAGAAGAUGCUUGGAAGCAGAUCUUCCCCAACCUCAUCACUGAAGGAUCAGCCUCCUCCUGAAAAUCUGUUCCGAAAACAGAUAUAGAAAUUUUUGCAAUGGAUUUGUCCUAGCAGCAAAAAACAAAGCACAAGAAAGUUUCCUUGGAAAGGGGACCUCCCCACCAUCAUCUGUGCAGAGCCAAAGCAAAGUAGAGCUGCCUCUACUGGCAACACCAAAACUCUACAAGUGAAGACACACAUUGGCAAGGUGUUAGAUGUGAAAACAGGGCGUAGCCAUGGUGUCAGAAUCCCCUGCCCCCAAGAAUCACGUUCCUCUCUGACAAAGCCUGUGAAAACUCUUAAGGCACAAUUGCAGGCUCAGGCAGAUACUGUCCAGGGACAUCCUUUUAACUACAAAGCUUCCUCCUGUAAAGUGAAAAGUAUCAAGUCAUGUAGCCAAGAAGUGCCCUUGGCUGACCAAAAUUACCCAUCGAAGAAUGCACUGACCAAAGACAGGGUGAGACAGCCCCAGAAAGUUGUGGCAUUCAAGGAUCAGCCACUAUUGCAGAGGCAUCCGGCAUCCAUGCCCAAUAAAGACUUCCUGCCCCAUCCAAACCAUACCUGUAGGCGUCAAGCCAGCCAGGUGUCUCCAACCACACCUACAUUUUCUGAAGGCACUGUAUUGGGAGAUCUGUCUCUACUCUUCAAACAUAAAAUGCUCCUUCAGCAUUUCCAGGGAGGAAGAUUUCCUCCUCCCAAAUAGUUUAUCCCUUCUUGAACACACUGAUGUUCCCCAAUAAAUAUUCUAAUAAUUGUUAUCUUUUAUAUGUACUAUUUUGGAGACAUGGGAUUUGAGUAACAUAAGGUUUAUACUUAGGAAAAAGAAGGAAUUAGUUCAGCACUUACUCAUCAUCUCUUUUGGCUUCUAAAUGAUGACAGUGCACUGGAGCUCUAGGGGGAUAGUUAUCAAGUGCCCCUUAAGGCCCUUCUGUCCCCAGAGAAGUCUGAGGACAUGUGCUGUUUCCUAGUCCGUAGGAUAUUUGUGGCAGCCCAUAUACCCUCCCCAUCACUGUCUAUUUCUUGGCCUCUGGAAAAAUAAGGGAGGUAAGUCAUCAUAUCUGAAGAGGGUCAAAGUCACAUAUCUUUUUCAGAAAAUUGUGCUUAAUCUUAUUUUUUUUAAAAAAAUUGUAAUGACUAGAGCAUGACACAGGAGGGUGAACCUCGCUUCAUGGGACUGAUUGGGUUAAGGUCUAGGAACAUUAUUAUUGUUGGUUGAGAAUCUGUCAUGAGAGGCAUAGUAAUGCAUUGGGAAACCAUACUUUGGGGCGUUGAUGUUUUCCUACUGGAAAAUAAGCUUAUGAAGGUAGCUUCCUGCCCUGGGUAAUUCUUCAGGCUGGCUGAAUUGAUUACAUUUUUGCAGGGCAAAAUAAUCCCCUAGAUCGAAGUUGGCGAACCCUAAAGGCUUCCAUAGCCUUGGCAACUCAUGACUAGAGCCUAGGGAGAUUACUGACGCCAUAAACAAGAGUGUCAAAUUGUUAAGUCAACAACAGGAGUAACUGUAUACUUACGUCUCAUGUGGGAUCUGUCCUUAAUGUGUUGUCCAAUGUGAAGUAAUGCUGUAACUAGUACUGAAACAGUAUUUUUACACUUUGUGUUUCUAUGUGGGUGCAAACUGAUGAAAUCUUUACUUAGUAUAUACUGAAUCAAUCUUCUGUAUAUAAUAAUUGAAAAUGAAAAAAAACUUGGUUUUAAAUUGGACAUUGCAUAAAAAAUUAUUUAAAAAAUAUCAUGUAGGAUCUCUGUCCUUAAUGUGCUGUACAUUGUGAUUUAAUGCUAUAACUAGUACUCCAACAGUAUUUUUCACUUUGUGUUGCUAUGUGGGGGCAAACUGUUGAAAUAUUUACUUUAUAUACAGAAGAUCAGUUUAGUAUAAAGAGAAUUGAAAAUGAAUCUUGAUGUGAAUGGAA